rnacentral:lncRNA from 10 species
CACUGAAAUGCACUGGGAAGGGGGACUUAGAUACUAACACAAGUUCAAUUCAAGAAGCAUUUAUUGAACCGUCCUCAUGAGCCAGGUCAGGGUGUUCAGCACUGAGCGUGUCAAGACGAAGACACAUAGCCUCUAAGUGUCCACCAUCUACAAUAGCUAAUGUUUAAUUGUCCUUAAAAGUUGAAGAAUGUUGACUGGAUUGUCUGCAAAUCAGUCAUGUGAGUAGUGUUAAUCUAAUGAAGAAGAAUCUUAAAAGACAAAUUCUCCAAAUGCUGCUGCUCCUGCAUCCUGCUGCUCUACCUGCUGUGGGGAGGAGGCAUUGGGAAUUAGUGUUAAACAAGACACAAAAUGUGUGCUCUC